rnacentral:rRNA from 1 species
CGGCCACCACUGGGACUGAGACACGGUCCCAGACUCUACGGGAGGCAGCAGUGGGGAAUAUUGCACAAUGGGCGAAGCCUUGAUGCAGCGACGCCGCGUGAGGGAUGACGGCCUUCGGGUUGUAAACCUCUUUCAGCAGGGACGAAGCGCAAGUGACGGUACCUGCAGAAGAAGCACCGGCCCAACUACGUGCCAGCAGCCGCGGUAAUACGUAGGGUGCGAGCGUUGUCCGGAAUUACUGGGCGUAAAGAGCUCGUAGGCGGUUUGUCGCGUCGUCUGUGAAAACCCGCAGCUCAACUGCGGGCUUGCAGGCGAUACGGGCAGACUUGAGUACUGCAGGGGAGACUGGAAUUCCUGGUGUAGCGGUGAAAUGCGCAGAUAUCAGGAGGAACACCGGUGGCGAAGGCGGGUCUCUGGGCAGUAACUGACGCUGAGGAGCGAAAGCGUGGGUAGCGAACAGGAUUAGAUACCCUGGUAGUCCACGCCGUAAACGGUGGGCGCUAGGUGUGGGUUUCCUUCCACGGGAUCCGUGCCGUAGCUAACGCAUUAAGCGCCCCGCCUGGGGAGUACGGCCGCAAGGCUAAAACUCAAAGGAAUUGACGGGGGCCCGCACAAGCGGCGGAGCAUGUGGAUUAAUUAGAUGCAACGCGAAGAACCUUACCUGGGUUUGACAUAUACCGGAAACGCCUAGAGAUAGGUGCCCCCUUGUGGUCGGUAUACAGGUGGUGCAUGGCUGUCGUCAGCUCGUGUCGUGAGAUGUUGGGUUAAGUCCCGCAACGAGCGCAACCCUUGUCCUGUGUUGCCAGCGCGUAAUGGCGGGGACUCGCAGGAGACUGCCGGGGUCAACUCGGAGGAAGGUGGGGAUGACGUCAAGUCAUCAUGCCCCUUAUGUCCAGGGCUUCACACAUGCUACAAUGGCCGGUACAGAGGGCUGCGAUUCCGUGAGGUGGAGCGAAUCCCUUAAAGCCGGUCUCAGUUCGGAUCGGGGUCUGCAACUCGACCCCGUGAAGUCGGAGUCGCUAGUAAUCGCAGAU